UACGUAGGAGGCAAGCGUUGUCCGGAAUUACUGGGCGUAAAGCGCGUGUAGGUGGUGGGACAAGUCUGCUGUGAAAGCGCCUGGCUUAACCGGGCGAGGUCCGUGGAAACUGGUCAGCUGGAGGACGGUAGAGGCGAGUGGAAUUCCCGGUGUAGUGGUGAAAUGCGUAGAGAUCGGGAGGAACACCUGUGGCGAAGGCGGCUCACUGGCCCGGUACUGACGCUGAGAUACGAAAGCGUGGGGAGCAAACAGG
rnacentral:rRNA from 1 species